rnacentral:rRNA from 1 species
UACGGGGGGGGCAAGCGUUGUUCGGAAUUACUGGGCGUAAAGGGCUCGUAGGUGGCCAACUAAGUCAGGCGUGAAAUCCCUCGGCUUAACCGGGGAACUGCGUUUGAUACUGGAUGGCUUGAGUUUGGGAGAGGGAUGCGGAAUUCCAGGUGUAGCGGUGAAAUGCGUAGAUAUCUGGAGGAACACCGGUGGCGAAGGCGGCAUCCUGGACCAAUACUGACGCUGAGGAGCGAAAGCUAGGGGAGCAAACGGG